UUUGCCCCAAUCAUGACCUUUCUAUUUGGCAUGGUUUUUACAAAAUGGAGUUACUAAACAAAAUGGAGUCACUUUGGCUUGAAUAUCACACUACAAGCAAUGGAGAUGCUUAUGGAGAGAACUGAGUUUAAUGAUGUUAGCAUUAAAUGCUUUUACUCCGUAGAAGUAAAAAUGGUGGCAGUGUAAGGGCAAACACAAAUUAAAAUUUAAAAGCUUAAAUGUUCCUUGAAGGGAAAAAAAGACCUCUCCUUUUUCUUAGAACAUUUAAUUUAAAAAUCUUAUACGUUCUUUCUCUUUCUUUGAAAUAAUGUCAAUCUUUGUGUGUGAGUGCACAUGCAAAUACAUGAACCACCUAAACAUUUUACCAUUGUGAGCUACAAUAGCAACCUUAUUAAAAGCCAAACAAGACUCUUUCCAGCUUUACAAGAAUAACUUUCUCAAGGAUCUAAAAGCCAUCACUGGAAAUGCAAUUAUCAAGGAACAUAGUACAUAUCUCCUAGUUUUUGUGAGAAGAUGGGAACUUAACUUUGGCCAUCUGCUUCCUUCCAUGUUGCAAGACCUACCUUUAGUGAUAAAGAUAUGAGAAGUUUAUUUUUCCUUUGGCUCAAUCCAACACUUUAGCAAAGAUGAUCACCCAAUUACCAAAUGAAUUGGGAUGAACUAUGUGUGAAAAAAUGGUGUCUUCAAAUGGUGUCUUAUUGAGGAAUAGUUAUCGUUUAUCUUAAGAACAUGUAUGUAAACAGUUGUGUCUACCUGGCUCUGUAUAAAGGACCUUCUGUACAACUGGAGAACAGGCAAGGAUAAAGGCAGCUGCAGAGAGAAAUCAAAGAGAAAGUUGAUUAUGAGUUUCAAUUGGCAGAAGGUUCAACUUGGAGCUGCUGAUUUGGGACUUCCCAGAUUGUUGAUCAGCCAGGAAUGUUGACCUAGGGCAGAUCCCAUAAACAACAUUGACGUAGUUGUGAAAGAAUAUCAAGAAACCCUCUGAAAAUCUCUGAGAAGAAAAGAGUAGGAGAAAAGAAGAGAAUUUCCAGAAAACAGAAAUGGACAUUUGCCGGUAGAUCUGAAUUUCCCUGAGAGAGGAGCCAUGUAACAAUAUGUACAAUGUCAAGCCUGGAGAAUGUGCCCAUGGGAACUCGUAAAGUCUGAAGUUCAACGGAUUGGUUAAAAUUAUUUAAAUUAUGUAUUGAAUGAAGAAAUAAAGGGCUUUGUUAUCCAA